AUCAAAUCAAUUAGGCAUAACUAUCAACCGAUAGUUAUAGGAAAGAAGUUUAUUAAGAAAAAGAACAAAUUUUACAAUUGUAGAAAUCGUAAGAUUUUAACAAGUAAUCAAUGAAAAUAUCUGAUCUAUCAACUAGUUGGUAGUAUAGAGGACUACCAAGGUUAUAACGGAUAACGAGAAAUUAGGGUUUGACAUCGGAGAAGGAGCUUUAAAAAUGGCUACUACUUCUAAGGAAGGCAGCAGGCGCGUAAAUUACCCACUUUUAACAUAAAGAGGUAGUGACGACAAAUAACUCUUUUAAAGCCGUAAGGUUUUAAUU
rnacentral:rRNA from 1 species